AUUGAACGCUGGCGGCAGGCCUAACACAUGCAAGUCGAACGGUAGCACAGAGAGCUUGCUCUCGGGUGACGAGUGGCGGACGGGUGAGUAAUGUCUGGGAAACUGCCCGAUGGAGGGAGAUAACUACUGGAAACGGUAGCUAGUACCGCAUAACGUCGCAAGACCAAAGUGGGGGACCUUCGGGCCUCACACCAUCGGAUGUGCCCAGAUGGGAUUAGCUAGUAGGUGGGGUAAUGGCUCACCUAGGCGACGAUCCCUAGCUGGUCUGAGAGGAUGACCAGCCACACUGGAACUGAGACACGGUCCAGACUCCUACGGGAGGCAGCAGUGGGGAAUAUUGCACAAUGGGCGCAAGCCUGAUGCAGCCAUGCCGCGUGUAUGAAGAAGGCCUUCGGGUUGUAAAGUACUUUCAGCGGGGAGGAAGGCGGUGAAGUUAAUAACUUCACCGAUUGACGUUACCCGCAGAAGAAGCACCGGCUAACUCCGUGCCAGCAGCCGCCGCAG
rnacentral:rRNA from 1 species